rnacentral:rRNA from 1 species
CGGGGGCAACCCUGGUGGCGAGUGGCGAACGGGUGAGUAAUGCAUCGGAACGUGUCCUCUUGUGGGGGAUAACCAGUCGAAAGACUGGCUAAUACCGCAUGAGAUCGAAAGAUGAAAGCGGGGGACCGCAAGGCCUCGCGCGAGAGGAGCGGCCGAUGCCGGAUUAGCUAGUUGGUGGGGUAAUGGCCUACCAAGGCGACGAUCCGUAGCUGGUCUGAGAGGACGACCAGCCACACUGGGACUGAGACACGGCCCAGACUCCUACGGGAGGCAGCAGUGGGGAAUUUUGGACAAUGGGCGCAAGCCUGAUCCAGCCAUGCCGCGUGUGUGAAGAAGGCCUUCGGGUUGUAAAGCACUUUCGGACGGAACGAAAUCGCGCGCAUGAACAUUGCGCGUGGAUGACGGUACCGUAAGAAGAAGCACCGGCUAACUACGUGCCAGCAGCCGCGGUAAUACGUAGGGUGCAAGCGUUAAUCGGAAUUACUGGGCGUAAAGGGUGCGCAGGCGGCCCCGCAUGUCAGGCGUGAAAUCCCCGAGCUCAACUUGGGAAUGGCGCUUGAAACUACGGGGCUGGAGUGUGGCAGAGGGAGGUGGAAUUCCACGUGUAGCGGUGAAAUGCGUAGAUAUGUGGAGGAACACCGAUGGCGAAGGCAGCCCCCUGGGCUAACACUGACGCUCAGGCACGAAAGCGUGGGG